CGCGGCCGGGCGCGGUGCGGGCGGCGGGCAGCGAGGUGCCCGAGCCCCUCCUGCUCCGGUAAGGCCUCGGUUUCGAUGGGAAGGACUGAGAGCGCGGGAGUAGGAGCAGGCGGAGGGUAGACUACAAUUGGAAGGUGGGAUUAAUCUAAGGUUGAGCCUUGUUGAAGGUUGGGGUGCAGCUGGGUCCGGGAGCCCCGGCGGCCCUGGUGCACUGUUUGACUUUGCAGUUCAGCGGGUGUUGGGCUUUUCUCCCUGUCUCUCUCUCUCUCUCCCCCCUUCUCGCUUUCUUGGCCUAGAAGUUUGUCCCGGGCACAGCGUGCGUCUUUGGGGGAGUGGGGGAGGGAGGGCGUUUGGCAGCAGAAUCUUCUCCUCCGGUCCCUCCAGUGCCUCUUCCCCCAGUGCAUCCAGAGUCCACGGGUCUUGGUCUCCCGGAGAUCUGGGUGUCUGUUGCCCGCAGCGCGGUCUUGGAAAGUUGAUUCCGGCGGUUUCCUGGUGGGGGCGGGGGAGACCGGAGGCGCGGCGCCCGGGAGGGGGAAAGGAGUGGGUGGGGAAGCGCCUCGGGUGAGGAGUUGCAACCCAGGCGAGAAGUUGUGAGAAAACUGUGAUCCGGAGACACCUUUUACAUACAAAAAACAAACGACUAGGCGGGAAACCGCAGGGCAUCAGUGGCGGCUGGUGGGUGGUGGUAUGGCAGCGGGAAGCUCCGUCUGGAGCUGCACUGAGAGGCUGCAAUGGAUUCGGGUGUGCAGCGUGAGGGCAGAGUGGGCCCGGCUCCCCUCCUCCCCCGUUCCAGGCUCUGGGCUUGCCACAGCUUCCCGAGACCACCGCAGACCACACCCCCUGUAGUUCACUCUUCAGGGAGCCCUUCCUUCCCCAAUUCCGAAUAUGACCCUCGGGACCACUGCCCCGGGGCCGGUUAUUCCAAAUGUGGGGUUAAGGUGCGGGUCCUGGGAACCUCAGCCUCCAAGAGUCACUCUAUUUCCUUGGCCUAGAUCAGUCAAAUUCCAAAUUCCUUUCCGACAGCACUACUUCUGUGCCAAACCGGGAUUUCUCCUGAGGUCUGAAGGUGUCAGGGCUGGGCAGUCCUGUUUUUGCUCCUCGUUUUUUGUUUUUGUUUUUAUUUUUGUUUUGUCUUGUUUUGUUCGGGGGGGGUGCUAAGAAGACGCAUUCAGCCCUACCGUGGAAGAAAAUAAGGACGGGCAGCCAGCCAGGUCUAGUUAGCAUUUUGGAAUUGGCCUUUCGAUCCCACUAGUGGUGUGGGACUCAGAGAUUCCACACAACGGCCGGGGACUAAGUUGGGGGAAAUGCGCGCUGAAACGCAAUUACAACGAACCUGAGCGGGCCUGGGAUCCAGGUCUCAGCAAACCGAAUACCCUCUUCGGACGAACCGGGUAGCCGCUACAGCGAAUCUGGUUUGCGCUCUGUGGAGGUGGAGUUUUAGGGCUCCGCCCACGCCCCUUCUCUGCCUUCGAGCUUCUGCCCACACCACCCUGCAAUCUCGAGGCCGCCGUCAGCCUCCCACCUUGCCUCCUACUUCACCUUUUCAUCAGGAGCCAAAGCCGAGGCGGUGUGCGCCUUUUUGGCCUCCGCGCAUCCUGACCUCUGGUUGCCGGGCCUCUAACAGCUUCUCGACAGCCCCUCCACACACACCUGGGCUGGGGCUCCCGGAUGCAGGGAAGGCGGUGUUGGGGCUGGUUAUCUCUCUCUAAUCAAGACCCCCCUGUGGGCCUCUCUCAGGGCCUGGCUCAGGGGAGGGGUAAGAAGGGAGAGCAGUUCUCUAACCCGGCAGCCCAGCUUCGCGAGAUCCGACUGGGUUUUCGUGCUCCUGGGGCAGACCCAGAGGGACAAGCCGAUUCGCACCCAGUGCUCCAGCACGUGCGGAGGCGCAAGGAGCUGCUUGGCUCAGGGGUCCCCAUCUCCUGCCCUCGGAGCCCGAGGUGCCUCCCCAGCCCGCUGGGUUGGAUGAGGCCCGCGGGGAGGGGCUGGUCCAGUCGAGCCAUCCACACGCUCCCCCCCCAGCUGUCCUGGUUCUCGCCGCAGCGCCCUCGACCCAACCGCCCCUUUCUGGAAUCUAAAGCCUCGGAGUCCCGAGUGGCUCAACCCCCGCCCCCGUCCCAGCUGGGCUCCUUCUCAUGCAAAGCAGAGGGGCCGCGGGGGUGGAGGGCGGUCGACAGGGACCUACGGGGAGACAGCUGGACCCGGCUGCCGGCCCUUCCUGAACCCAAGGCCCGCUGUCUCCCUUCGAGUGGACAGCAGGGGGUUGCUCCACCCGUUUAAGGGUGCAGGGAUCUAGGGACCUCGGCAUAGGCGGGGGGAAGAGGGCCCCUCCCUGCUGGGGACCAACGCGGUAGGGGAGCUGAGAGGACGAGGACAGGAUGCAGGCUCUGGGGCAUCAGGCUCUGUUUGUCCCUGUGUCCAGAUGGUUCACUAAACAGGUCUGCGGGAACCAGCCCUGGCGGCUACCACAGAGUCCGGCAGCGCAACUCUAGGCGCGCCUCUUGGCUCCUGAUUCUAGUCCCGAUUUAAUGCCUCCGUGGCGACAGCACUCUAUUAAUGCGGGUUUUUUUUUUCGUUUCCAUUGAGCUUUUAUUUUAAAACGUAUUUAGUCGUAUAGACAUGGACAGAAAACGGACCCAGCUUUCCAAAUUAGCCGCUUCUGAAGGCUCGCAGCCCAGCUCUGCAUUUAAACCAAUGGCUGCUCCGUGAAGAGCGCCAACCUCCCCUCCUUACUCUCACCGCCACACUUCCUGCCAGCGUCCUGAAGUACACAGCGCUUUCCUACGCCAGGACCUCCAAGUCGCACAGAACCACAACCACGCACACCGCCCCAGGGCGUGUAAACUCUGCGCGGGUGCUGUGAGGGUCAGUUUCGAGGCGGAGUUUUCGCUCGGUGGCAGCGGAAUAAUCCUCUCCACUUCAUCCCCAGGCUUUCUUGGAAAAGGCCCCAGAGGGGCCAGGAAGCGCCUUUCACAGUUCCAGUCUCCCUUCUGAGAAGCGCCUUGAGGAUCAGUCCGAGAGGCCGGACCCUGCUGGGGAGCUGGGGUUGGAGGGGGUUCUGCUAGCCCUCCCCAGCCGCCCUGCAGUUUGGGAGGGUUGAAGGCGCCCUCUCUUGCAGUCCGCUUUCCUCCCGCGACCUCCGUGGUUCCAAGCCCUAGAUCGCCUGGCUCCCUGACGUUCUCGAGUGGCUUGCGCGGCCCAAGAACCCAAGCCUGCCCGGCACGGUCAGCUGCUGUAGAUCGAGAGCGGCGCCCGCCCCUGGCCGCUUCCCUCCUCGCCCACUCACUCACUGUGCAGCCCACCAGCCCCAGAAAAAGGCGGCGAGGCCGUGAAAGGAGGCGCUUGGGGCUGAGCGGACUCUAGGCGGUUAACUUUGCGGGGCGGUAGGAGUGGGGCGCAACCAGCCUCGCCGGUGCAGGCAGAGAGAGGAGAGAGCGAGCGGGUCGUCUCGAGUGGUCCGGGAGGCCGCACAAACUGCGCACAGACCCGGUAGGACGUCGCGGAUGGGCACGGGAAAGUUUGGCCCAGGGCCCUUGGAUCUGAUCCUACUUCUCCAGCUCUCUCCUUUCCCUUUGCUCUGCUCCUGACUCAGGUUGUCCUAAUCUCACUCCAUCACUCACUCCUGGUGAUGAUCUACGUGUGUGCACCACUUUACAGUUUAUAUCACUAUCUCCCCUGAACCGCAUAGUAGGAGGGGGAUUGGUUUUAGCUUCUUUCUCCCCAGGAAAGAGAGCCAAGUCAGGGGGUUUGCCCGAGAUCCCUGAGCCAGGGCACUGCUGAAGGUGAGAAAUUUGGGGUUGGGGGCUUGUCACCUUGGAUUGCUGUGCACUUUGCCCCAGCGGUGGCUUCCAAGUUGGGGAUGGGAGAGGGUGGGGGACCGCGGGGCCGGGAAAGGGCAGCAUCCGGCCGGGGCUUCACGGUGUGAGCGCUCUGGCUGGGUAAACAAGGCUGGCUUCCCACGAGGGCCGGGGAGGGGGCCGGGGCUGGGGGGUGGGGCGGGCAAGGUCAAGCGUGGCGAUCUCAGAUGGAAGGCAGCGCCGCGGAGCAAAGACCGGUCGUUGAUAGUCGCCGAGGGGAGAGAGAGAGAGAGGGACAGAAGUGAGUGGAGAGGGACAGGGAGAGGGAAUAAGGACAGAAAACUAGGGAAAAGAAAAGCAAUGCGGAAACGCAUGCAGGGAUAAAAGGAGGGAAGGGCGCUGGGGGCAAUGCUGGGAGGAGCAGAGGAAAAGAGAAGAGACCCAAAAAGACACCCACACCUAGGCGACAUAAAAAAGCAGCGGGCAGGGAGAGGUGCGCAGCCGAGCACCCGCAGGUGCUGGGGGGGACAUCUGGCGGGACUCGAGGGUGCGAGGGUGUGUGACAGUCGCGCUCGUAGGCGGGAGAAAAGGAGGCAGCGUGUUUGGUGGGCGACUCAGCGCCCGUGGAAAAGCGUGUGAGCGGCUCUGGGCAGGAAUCCAACAAAUAAAUAAAACGUCUAAGCGGCGUGACAACAAUG
rnacentral:lncRNA from 1 species